rnacentral:lncRNA from 1 species
UCCGUCUCUGCUUAUGGGGCAGGUGUUUCCACAGGCUACACUCGCACAAAUGGAAGGGCUUGAUUAAGAGUGUACACGUUGGAAACAUUGGAAACGAUCCUUAAUUGUAUGAAAUUAUACACAUACGCAUAGGAGGAGAGGGAUUAUGGCACCUCGCUAACACUGGGCAUUUCUCAGCCUUGUAUGGAUUGUAUUUUUCAUGUCUUUUCACCUUUUUUCAAUUGGGGCACUCAUUUUUUUGAAAUUUGGUUUGUAUGUGUUCUUUGCGGGUUAAGGAUAACACGCUACCGAGAUGCUGACAGUCAACAGUAAGCUCUGACCGUCACAACUGUGACGUCACUUGCUGUUAAGUUCCAUCUCUAGAGCAUAUCAAAGGACCGCAGCGGAGCCAGGACGCCCUGCUGGAGACUCGAAGCAGUCUGCAGGACAGAUAGGGACGGAUGGAGAUAGAGAACUCUCCAUGUGCCUCAAAAGACUCUUCUGGGACACAAAGUUGCAGGAAGCUCAUUUCAGUUCAACCGCGUCCGUGUGGAUUUCGACGCCAGAUGAGCCAACUCCUGAAUCGGAGAUUUGAAAAGACUCUUUGUUCCAUGUUUAAACUUUUAAUGAAAACCUAUCUACCAGAUAUUAAAUUGUUUCCCUGCUGCAGAGUUCUGCUUAUUAAAUCUUACAGACUUUGUGGAGAUAAAUUGUUCUCCAAGGACGAAGGGCUACGGCCUGGUUUUGUGCCAGGAGCCAGGCCUCCUCCGCAGCUGCCCCCUGGCCGGGAGGAGACUGGGAUGUGCCCCCAGGUGAGAGGAAAGCUGUUCGGCAGCUUUCCCCCACUCUGUGGCCUCUGACUAAACUUUUCCAUUUUUUGACAUAUCUGUGCCCACGAAGACCCCUGUACACAGGUGGUCAUGGAGCCCCAAGAGCUGCGUGUGGGAUCCCAGACCCCGCAGCAGGUUGGUAGCACGGCUGGGACUGCAGGCUGAGCCCAGAGGAGCUUGGCGGGGAGACUGCACCCCAGUGCCCCGCUGCUGCUGGUGCCCCCAACAUCCCCGAGCAUCCUCCAGCGUCCUCGAGCAUACUCCAGCACCCUCCAGCAUCCUCCAGUAUCCUCCAGCAUCCUCCAGCAUCCUCCAGCACCCUCCAGCAUCCUCGAGCAUCCUCCAGCAUCUUCCAGGAUCCUCCAGCAUCCUCCAGGAUCCUCCAGCACCCUCCAGCAUCCUCCAGCAUCCUCCAGGAUCCUCCAGCACCCUCCAGCAUCCUCCAGCAUCCUCCAGCAUCCCCUGUGCGCUGUGCCCCGGGCGCCGGCCCGCCGCGGCCUCCAGGUGCUGGGGUGGCGCAUCCUGCAUCGGGCCGGGCUCCUACUCCCCACGCAGCGGCCCGGAGGGGGGAGGGAGGGCAGCUAGUUACCCUCGUGCCUGUCUGUCCCGUCACGGGCUCCCGGAGGCGGGGACCGGGCCUUGUGCUUCGUGGAACCCCGAUGCCCAGCGCAGUAGAGCCGGGUGCCCGCCCCCCCCGCCCCCCCCCG